CUACGGGACGCAGCAGUAAGGAAUAUUGCGCAAUGGAGGCAACUCUGACGCAGCCAUGCCGCGUGCAGGAAGAAGGCCUUAUGGGUCGUAAACUGCUUUUAUUUAGGAAUAAACCCCCGAACGUGUUCGGGGCUGAAGGUACUAAACGAAUAAGCACCGGCUAACUCCGUGCCAGCAGCCGCGGUAAUACGGAGGGUGCAAGCGUUAUCCGGAUUUAUUGGGUUUAAAGGGUGCGCAGGCGGGCUAUUAAGUCAGUGGUGAAAUCCCGGGGCUCAACUCCGGAACUGCCAUUGAUACUGAUAGUCUUGAGUUUGGUUGAAGUGGGCGGAAUGUAGCAUGUAGCGGUGAAAUGCAUAGAUAUGCUACAGAACACCAAUCGCGAAGGCAGCUCACUAAGCCAAAACUGACGCUCAUGCACGAAAGCGUGGGGAUCAAACAGGAUUAGAUACCCGCGUAGUC
rnacentral:rRNA from 1 species